rnacentral:rRNA from 1 species
AUUGAACGCUGGCGGCAGGCCUAACACAUGCAAGUCGAGCGGAUGAAGGGAGCUUGCUCCUGGAUUCAGCGGCGGACGGGUGAGUAAUGCCUAGGAAUCUGCCUGGUAGUGGGGGAUAACGUCCGGAAACGGGCGCUAAUACCGCAUACGUCCUGAGGGAGAAAGUGGGGGAUCUUCGGACCUCACGCUAUCAGAUGAGCCUAGGUCGGAUUAGCUAGUUGGUGGGGUAAAGGCCUACCAAGGCGACGAUCCGUAACUGGUCUGAGAGGAUGAUCAGUCACACUGGAACUGAGACACGGUCCAGACUCCUACGGGAGGCAGCAGUGGGGAAUAUUGGACAAUGGGCGAAAGCCUGAUCCAGCCAUGCCGCGUGUGUGAAGAAGGUCUUCGGAUUGUAAAGCACUUUAAGUUGGGAAGAAGGUCAGUAAGUUAAUACCUUGCUGUUUUGACGUUACCAACAGAAUAAGCACCGGCUAACUUCGUG